AUGCAUACUCGUCUAAUAAACCUUCAGACUCCAUUUGAAGGUUGGUCUAUUAAUAUCAAUUUCAGAGUGUUCAGUUCGGAUUUAACGUUGCAUCAGCUUUCCUAUCACUCAUCAAUUGAUGGAAUGAUGGUGAGUGACUUGAGCGAGACUGUCAGAAUAUUGGUGACCAACUGCAACUUUGUACUAGUAUUAGUGAAUCAUUCUACUCAGAUUUGA